GACGAACCGUGCGAACGUUGUUCGGAAUCACUGGGCUUAAAGGGCGCGUAGGCGGGCGGUCAAGUCAGAGGUGAAAUCCCACGGCUCAACCGUGGAAGUGCCCCUGAUACUGAUCGUCUCGAGGGAGGUAGGGGCGUGCGGAACUUCCGGUGGAGCGGUGAAAUGCGUAGAUAUCGGAAGGAACACCGAUGGCGAAAGCAGCGCGCUGGACCUCUACUGACGCUGAGGCGCGAAAGCCAGGGGAGCAAACGGG
rnacentral:rRNA from 1 species